UUAGGGGGUUUCCGCCCCUUAGUGCUGCAGCUAACGCAUUAAGCACUCCGCCUGGGGAGUACGACCGCAAGGUUGAAACUCAAAGGAAUUGACGGGGGCCCGCACAAGCGGUGGAGCAUGUGGUUUAAUUCGAAGCAACGCGAAGAACCUUACCAGGUCUUGACAUCCUUUGACCACUCUGGAGACAGAGCUUUCCCUUCGGGGACAAAGUGACAGGUGGUGCAUGGUUGUCGUCAGCUCGUGUCGUGAGAUGUUGGGUUAAGUCCCGCAACGAGCGCAACCCUUGAUUUUAGUUGCCAGCAUUUAGUUGGGCACUCUAAAGUGACUGCCGGUGCAAGCCGGAGGAAGGUGGGGAUGACGUCAAAUCAUCAUGCCCCUUAUGACCUGGGCUACACACGUGCUACAAUGGAUAGUACAAAGGGUCGCGAAGCCGCGAGGUGGAGCUAAUCCCAUAAAACUAUUCUCAGUUCGGAUUGUAGGCUGCAACUCGCCUACAUGAAGCCGGAAUCGCUAGUAAUCGUGGAUCAGCAUGCCACGGUGAAUACGUUCCCGGGCCUUGUACACACCGCCCGUCACACCACGAGAGUUUGUAACACCCGAAGUCGGUAGGGUAACCUUUAUGGAGCCAGCCGCCGAAGGUGGGACAGAUAAUUGGGGUGAAGUCGUAACAAGGUAGCCGUAUCGGAAGGUGCGGCUGGAUCACCUCCUUU
rnacentral:rRNA from 1 species